GGGGAAUAUUGCACAAUGGGGGAAACCCUGAUGCAGCAACGCCGCGUGAAGGAAGACGGUUUUCGGAUUGUAAACUUCUGUUCUUAGUGAAGAAUAAUGACGGUAGCUAAGGAGCAAGCCACGGCUAACUACGUGCCAGCAGCCGCGGUAAUACGUAGGUGGCAAGCGUUGUCCGGAAUUACUGGGUGUAAAGGGAGCGUAGGCGGGAUGCCAAGUCAGCUGUGAAAACUAUGGGCUUAACCUGUAGACUGCAGUUGAAACUGGUAUUCUUGAGUGAAGUAGAGGCAGGCGGAAUUCCUAGUGUAGCGGUGAAAUGCGUAGAUAUCGGGAGGAACACCAGUGGCGAAGGCGACCUACUGGGCACCAACUGACGCUGAGGCUCGAAAGCGUGGGUAGCAAACAGGAUUAGAUACCCUGGUAGUCCAUGCCGUAAACGAUGAUUACUAGGUGUUGGAGGAUUGACCCCUUCAGUGCCGCAGUUAACACAAUAAGUAAUCCACCUGGGGAGUACGACCGCAAGGGUUGAAACUCAAAGGAAUUGACGGGGGCCCGCACAAGCAGUGGAGUAUGUGGUUUAAUUCGACGCAACGCGAAGAACCUUACCAAGUCUUGACAUCCUGCGACGAUGCUGGAAACAGUAUUUUCCUUCGGGACGCAGAGACAGGUGGUGCAUGGUUGUCGUCAGCUCGUGUCGUGAGAUGUUGGGUUAAGUCCCGCAACGAGCGCAACCCUUACUGUCAGUUACUACGCAAGAGGACUCUGGCAGGACUGCCGUUGACAAAACGGAGGAAGGUGGGGAGGACGUCAAAUCAUCAUGCCCUUUAUGACUUGGGCUACACACGUACUACAAGGGCGUUAAACAAAGAGAAGCAAGACCGCGAGGUGGAGCAAAACUCAGAAACAACGUCCCAGUUCGGACUGCAGGCUGCAACUCGCCUGCACGAAGUCGGAAUUGCUAGUAAUCGUGGAUCAGCAUGCCACGGGGAAUACGUUCCCG
rnacentral:rRNA from 1 species